rnacentral:rRNA from 1 species
AUCUGUGGUCUGGCUGUUGACUAAAUGGUUCCAUCCGACCCGUCUUGUAACACGGACCAAGGAGUCUAACAUAUGUGCAAGUUCACGGGUGGUUAAACC